GACGAACGCUGGCGGCGUGCUUAACACAUGCAAGUCGAACGAUGAAGCUGUGCUUGCACAGUGGAUUAGUGGCGAACGGGUGAGUAACACGUGAGUAACCUGCCCUCCACUUUGGGAUAACUCCGAGAAAUCGGGGCUAAUACUGGAUAUGACCUUGGCCCGCAUGGGUUUUGGUGGAAAGUUUUUCGGUGGGGGAUGGGCUCGCGGCCUAUCAGUUUGUUGGUGAGGUAGUGGCUCACCAAGGCGAUGACGGGUAGCCGGCCUGAGAGGGGCGACCGGCCACACUGGGACUGAGACACGGCCCAGACUCCUACGGGAGGCAGCAGUGGGGAAUAUUGCACAAUGGGCGAAAGCCUGAUGCAGCGACGCCGCGUGGGGAUGACGGCCUCGGGUUGUAAACCUCUUUCAGCAAGGAAGAAGCGAAAGUGACGGUACUUGCAGAAGAAGCGCCGGCUAACUACGUGCCAGCAGCCGCGGUAAUACGUAGGGCGCAAGCGUUGUCCGGAAUUAUUGGGCGUAAAGGGCUUGUAGGUGGCUUGUCGCGUCUGCCGUGAAAACUCGAGGCUUAACCUUGGGCGUGCGGUGGGUACGGGCAGGCUAGAGUGCGGUAGGGGAGACUGGAAUUCCUGGUGUAGCGGUGAAAUGCGCAGAUAUCAGGAGGAACACCGAUGGCGAAGGCAGGUCUCUGGGCCGUUACUGACACUGAGAAGCGAAAAGCAUGGGGAGCGAACCAGGAUUAGAUACCCUGGUAGUCCCUGGACUGCCAAGGG
rnacentral:rRNA from 1 species